rnacentral:rRNA from 1 species
UAACGCUGGCGGCGUGCUCACACAUGUCAAGUCGAACGAGAAAGGGGCUUCGGCUCCGAGUAAAGUGGCGCACGGGUGAGUACACGUGGGUAACCUGCCUCUAAGAUUGGGAUAACUCGUCGAAAGAUGAGCUAAUACCGAAUAAGACCACAGUUCCUGCGGGGACAGCGGUCAAAGGUAGCCUCUGCUUGCAAGCUAUCACUUAGAGAUGGGCCUGCGCACCAUUAGCUAGUUGGUAGGGUAACGGCCUACCAAGGCAAAGAUGGUUAGCUGGUCCGAGAGGAUGAUCAGCCACACUGGAACUGAGACACGGUCCAGACUCCUACGGGAGGCAGCAGUGGGGAAUAUUGCGCAAUGGGCGAAAGCCUGACGCAGCAACGCCGCGUGAGUGAUGAAGGCCUUCGGGUCGUAAAGCUCUGUCGGAAGGAACGAAUGCUCCUGAGGUUAACAGCCUCGGGAGGUGACGGUACCUUCAAAGGAAGCACCGGCUAACUCUGUGCCAGCAGCCGAGGUAAUACAGAGGGUGCAAGCGUUGUUCGGA